UACGGAGGGUGCAAGCGUUAUCCGGAAUCACUGGGCGUAAAGGGUGCGUAGGCGGGUCUUUAAGUCAGGGGUGAAAUCCUGGAGCUCAACUCCAGAACUGCCUUUGAUACUGAAGAUCUUGAGUUCGGGAGAGGUGAGUGGAACUGCGAGUGUAGAGGUGAAAUUCGUAGAUAUUCGCAAGAACACCAGUGGCGAAGGCGGCUCACUGGCCCGAUACUGACGCUGAGGUGCGAAAGCGUGGGGAGCAAACAGG
rnacentral:rRNA from 1 species